ACACAAGAUUGGUAAUUUUUUGUAUUUUUUUCAUCGCAACCUGUCAAAAUUUCGUAGUUUAGAAAUUCAAUAUUUCGAAUUUGAAUGCACACCCGAACAAAGCAAAUCAGCUCAACUAAUCUUGUCUCAACAUCCUGGAUCUGGCAAUCAGCCAACCAACAUUAAAUCGAUACAACCGCAGCAGUACCAACUGUACUCUAAAUCCAGCAACAGCCCACAACUCCUCAAAAAGGACCACAUAGCAAUUACUGCUCAAACGAACAACAGGAGUUUACGAAUGAUGGACACAUCGGAAAACAUUUCAUCGGCACAUUCUGCCUUAAAACUUGUCUGCCACUAUUUUUACCAGCGGUUGCCUUCCUGAUUUAGAGAAAUCGGAUUCAAGCACAAACGUCAUAUUCCAGCCUUGGUUCCUACCAGUUCCUUGCAUGAAAAUAUCACUGCCUCCACAGUGCUCGUGAUUCCAUUCCAGCAGCAGUAAGCAAUCAAUAUUCGAGUGCUUAUCGCCAACAUUUCACAGCAAGCUCAGCAGCAGAACCACCUUCAACCACAUCAGAAAAUUAAGAUUUCUUCCAGACCACGACCAUCAUCCUAAAGGUCGGUAGCAAUAACGUUCAACCGCCGGUACAACCUGGUCAGCAACCGCAAUUAGUACAAUAGAUCCAAGCCAAAUGUAGAAGACCAUUGACUAACUGCAAAAAAGAUAGCAACAGCAUAUUCAAACACAGUAGCAGCAGCAUACUAUACCGUACCAUGCGGUGUGCAGGAGGACUUUUUUAUUCAGUUGGUGCGGCAAGAUCGAACACCAACAACAUAAUAUGGUAAUCACCCAGCAAGAGAACGCAGUGAUAAUGGGCCAACAGAAAACACAACAUCAAGAUGCUUGGAAAGGACUUUCUCUUUCGAACAAACAUAAUGGCACGUCAUGUUCGAUCGGCUAACCGUUUGGAAUAAGCGCUCAUCAUCGGUUUCAUGGCAGGGAAGUGAGCAGGCAAAAGAAGGCAUCGUUUUUUUCCGCAAGGUCGCUCUGGUCAAAAUUUCAGCGAAUUGCAAGGAAUAAACAACCCGAGGGACAGUACCCGUGCUGAUUCAGUACGAUUUCUCAUACUUUGUACCUUGCUAUUGAAUUUUAAUACCCGAUCGAAACGAUGGCAAGCGCUGCCGUUAACUGGGUCAAAAAGACGACGGAUCAAGAAAUUUCUG